AUUGAACGCUGGCGGCAUGCCUUACACAUGCAAGUCGAACGGCAGCACGGGGCAACCUGGUGGCGAGUGGCGAACGGGUGAGUAAUGCAUCGGAACGUGCCAUUGAGUGGGGGAUAACGUAGCGAAAGUUGCGCUAAUACCGCAUAUUCUGUGAGCAGGAAAGCAGGGGACCGCAAGGCCUUGCGCUCUUUGAGCGGCCGAUGUCAGAUUAGCUAGUUGGUGAGGUAACGGCUUACCAAGGCGACGAUCUGUAGCGGGUCUGAGAGGAUGAUCCGCCACACUGGAACUGAGACACGGUCCAGACUCCUACGGGAGGCAGCAGUGGGGAAUUUUGGACAAUGGGCGCAAGCCUAAUCCAGCCAUGCCGCGUGAGUGAAGAAGGCCUCGGUUGUAAG
rnacentral:rRNA from 1 species